ensembl:snRNA U6 U6 spliceosomal RNA
CUACUCACUUUGGCAGCACAUUUACCAAAAAUUAUAGUGAUACAGAGAAAAUUAGCAUAGUUCCUGUGCAAGGAUGACCUGAAAUUUCACGUAGCAUUCCACAGUAAA